CUCUGCACCCGCUGAGAUAAUAGAUGGUGUGUCAACUCGAGGAAAGCCCAGGUUGUGCAAGGUUUGGUAUUUUCAGAAUUUGAUUUCAGUUCAGUUUGGAUUGCCACCCCAAAUUUCACUCGCUGCUUUCUCUCCUUAUUUCUUUUUUUAUCACCUUGUGAGGGAUAUCUAGGAAUCAGUGGAUCCUGAUUGCUUUCCAUGCUGGGGCUGAGUGGUCAGCAUUGCAACAUUGAUAGCCAGAGCCAUCUUCGUGCUCUAGCUUUGCUUUCCCACUUCAGCCUUGGUGCUGACUUGUUGGACUGCUGUGACCGUGAGCAGAGCUGUGGUCGGAAUAUGAGGAAAAGGAGACAGAGAGAAGGGAUGGAUGGAUGGAUGGAAGCGAGCUGUCUGCCAGCCCCUGCUGCCUCUGCUGCCUCUGCUGCCCUCCCUCUGCGGCAUUCACCCUAGCACUGGGGCCAUAGCGGCUCUGCAUAACCCAAACAGAUGUCAUGCACCUGAAGUGGGAUGAGGUCAGCUUGGAGGAGUGGAUGAUGCAGGCUGGGGCUGGUGGAGCAGCUUUUGUUCCCCUGCACCCCAUGCACACGAGGACGACUUUGGCUGUGGUGGUGCCAACAUAGUGCCCUGAUACGCUGCCAGAGUGAACUGAAACCCAGACCCCAAUUCUUUGCUGAGGGAUGGAUGCUGCCCAUGGAUUUACAUUGCCUUGAUGUUUGUUCCUGGGUGCUUCUGUAUCAUCGAUAUAGGGGAUCCAUACAGCAGAGGUGCCUGAGCCCUCUUCAGGCUGGGGUGGUCCCAGGAGGGCAAGGAGAAUCAACGUGGAAAAAACUGGUGUCCUGCCAUACUGAAGAGCUUCAAGCUGACUCUGUUUGGGACCCAUACAGACCCUUGCCAGAGGUGCAUCGCUCAGCUCAUGGAUAAACAACACCCAAAUCCAGAACCACAGAGGGGACAAUGAGCUUCAUGCCAAGCAAAACCUUCUCUUUGGGCGUGUCCCUGUGGCAAGGGACAUCUGCUGUCAACUCCUGCUCAAGUGACCCAGAGAUGCCACCCAUGAAACCAAUGCAAGCACUGGGGCAUUCACAGCAUCCCUCAGAUGGUGAUGGGAAUGCGUGACAUCUGCAUUCAGGCAUCUUCAUUCAGACCUGCAUCUUAAUCAUCAAGUUUUCAUUGCGCCACUUCCACCCAGUACACUGGAUUAAACCCCAGCUCACGUAUACCAAGGGAGAACCAGGUGCCACUAAAUCCCGGAUGCAUAAACCUCAAUUCAGCUCCAGAUACACAAAACCCAUGUCGGUUGCAGGACAGCCCAUCUGCUGUUUGCAGCAAGCCAUCUGCCCAUGCUUGCUGGAGCCUUAAAAAUUGAUGCUGGUUCUCCCAGCAAAGCCAGCUAGCUACCUGUGGUGAACUGGGCGAGGGCCGGCCGGCUCUCGUUGGCACCCCGGAUGGCGCUGACGGCGAGGUGGUAGCGGGCGCCGGGGCGCAGGGCCUGCAGGGAGUACUGGCUGAGGGGGGGCUGCAGGCGGAACGUGGUCCUCCCCCCCUCCCCGUCCGCCAGCCCGUACUUCAGCAGGAUGGCGUCCACCCUGGCGCGUGGCGGCGUCCACUCCACGAAGGCCACCGUGUCGGAGACAUCCCGCACCAGGAUCUGCGUCGGGCCGUCAAUGACUGAGGAGGAAGGGGAUAAACAGAUAGCUGCUCAUACUUCGUGAUGCAUUGAAAAACAUACAGUUCUCCUCUAUGUCCAGCUCUUCAAGCCAUGCAAACUGCUUUUAUUGAUGAUCUCCUUCCACUCAGUUUUCCCUUUUCUGAGCAUUUUCGUCACUGGCAAAAUUUAUCAGCAACAUUAUUAUGUCUUUUGAAAGGUGUUGACAAUGUGAUAAAUAAUGUGGGACCAAGGACUGAUCUAAGCAUCCAGAACUGAGGAACAUGUCUAGAAAUGUUCCUGCAUCAGUGCCAGCUCCUUGUUUCUUGUUAAGCUGAGGGAUCAGCUCAUAAAGCUGUUGAUGUCUUUGCACUGAGGAGAGAGGAGAACAUGCAACUGCUCUGGCAAGUCUUCAUAACCAGCUGGGAGUGGGACUAUGAGAGUUGGGCUCUUCCCUCUUCCACAUCCCCCAGCAUGCAGCCUCUGGAAAUCAUGGGCUUGAGAGCAGGUGAUGAAUGCUUUGAGUCCAACAGGACCUAACUGCUGCAUGGACAUACGGAUGGACAGAUGCUGUGCCAUGGCAGCGUUGGUGCACGGAGCCUGCUGGGCAGUCUCUUUUAUCACUUCCAUGGUCACAAGGGUCACCGGCUGUACCCUGUGAGGCCAAAUGUGAUACCUUGGGGAUGAAGCUGAUCUCCCAGCCGUCAAAGGGGAAGGAGAAAGGCUCCCACUGCACCUCCGCUGUCGUCUCCGUGAUGGUCUUGAACUUCAGCCCCUGUGGUGUGGCGAGGUCUGGAAGGGAGCAGGGAGCGGCACUGCUGCUAGAAGGUUUUUAUGGAAAAUGUGAGCCAGCCUGAGCAUCACCUCUUGUCAUCCGAGUGACAAGUACAGUAGGAUACUUACUGGUCAUCACCUUGGAGGUAACAGGGAUGCUCAAGACAUUGCUGAUGACCGCGUAGAUGCUGAUGUUGUAGGCAACUCCUGGCUCCAGCUCCGUGAUGGUGAUGCUGCUCCAGUCCCCGGGCACCCGCUGCUGGAGCUGGGUGCCCCCUGGCCCCACCGGCUGAUACGAGACGACGUACUCGGUGGCUGCCCUGGGGCUGUCCCAUGUCAGCUCAAUGGAGCUCUCACUGAUCCCCGUCACUCGAAGGUUUUCGGGAGGAGCCACUGAUGGAAAUGGCAGAAAUCAGCACUCAGUUGAUGGGAACCUCCCUAGACCUUUUACUGGGAAAAAGCCUUCCCUGGCCAAGCCCUCUGCACCAGCCAUGCCUCCUGUUGUCUCCUCUCCACCCACUCUUCCUUCUUACAGGCUCUGAGCAAUGGCCGCAGUGAAAUGAGGGGCCAUCUUUGACGGGGUGACACUAAUGGGGGAUGUCAGAGAGCUUCACAAACUGUACGUAUGGUUAUUCAGAUGAAAUACCCUGUUGAUGGCUUCAUGUCUUUGUUAUAGGUUUUGUUUGCAUCUGUCAUGGCAACAGAAAUUAUUCCCUGUAUUUUCUAUUUUUUCUAUUUUUUUUUUUUUUUUUACUCAGCUUGUCAUACACAUUCACUCUUCCUACAGAGAAGAUGAAGGGGUUUAUUGCUGGCUCCCACGGUGAUGCCUUCAGCCCAGGGACAGCUCAAAAGAGCAGCAGCUACAUAUCUCCUCCCUGUCCCAUGCAUGGUGGCAGAUCUCUAACAGCACUGCCAUGGUGUCCAGGGUUGGGAUAUCACCCUGCUCACCCCUUACCAACCAUUAUUUUAUCUGUCACAGGGCUUUUGCUCUGGCCAUUAUGGGGUUUGUGCAGUGAGCAGGGCAUGGUGGGGGGUCAAGUGACCAAAUCCCUCCCAGGGGUUUGUCUGUCUUGGAGAACCUAAGCCAGACUUUUCCUUAAAGCCAAAGCCACACCAUGGGUGAGCAGAGGUUUUCCUCUUUUCCUCUGAGUGACAUCACUGGUUUUGUAUUUAUUUCUCCUGCCUUUUGUUUGAGCCCUGAGUCCCCAGUGAGAGCUAACAGGAUGGCAUUACUACCUGUGGCUGCAUUUUCUUGGCAGCAAUUGGAGUUGCAUUGGUCCCGGAGCAUGGAAACCUCCCUCUCCAGCAUCUCAAUCCUGCUCAGCAGCUCCUGCAGGGACGGGAGGGAGGUGGAGCACUUGCAGGCGUGCUUAGGCAAGUUUAUCCUGUGGGUGAAGGUGACCUGGCUCUCGCUGUCAGAGGUCUGCUCCGCGUACUCAGCCAGCCGGUCGUCUUCUGAACUCACCUCCUCGGCUGAAGACUUGAACAUAGAUGAGCAGCAGCUGUCCAGGGGGAUGUUGAUGUUGUAGAUGUGGUGGAAGACCAUGGGCUGCUCUUUGAUGGGUGGGCUGCAGUUGGCAAGGCCACCCUCCUCGUCCACCACCGGCCUCUCGGCUGGCUCCGUUGUCACCUCCAGCCGGCACUCAAAAGGCUUGAGGACGGCACCCAGCAAAAGCAAGUUGAAGCUGAUGAGCACAUUCCUCAGGACAGGGUUUUCACUGUCAGUCCCCAUUUUUUGGGAGAGGGAAGCGCCUUCUAAGCCAGUGCUGGUCAGCCAAGCGCAGGGAGGACCUGGGGACACAGAAGGAAAAGAGCAUGGUUGGUGUUAGCCCUGAAACUGUGCUCAACUCGGAGAGGCAAGUCCUGCUGGGCAAAGUCAUGCGAAGAGAUGUGAGGCUGACUUGACCUACACACAGUCCUCAUGGCUUUGGUGAAGCCUAAAUCAGUCCCAAGCAGAGCCCAUGGCUGCUGGGAACACCCUGCCAUAGCCCUUGAACAGUGACAAAGGCAGAUAUUUGUUGCUAUUAUUAUUAUUUUUUUAAAGGAAUGGUUAAUCUGGUGCUAACAAAGCACCAAAUACAUGUGUUUUCAGGAGAAACGCCUGGUAUGAGAUCUACUUUCAGUAUGACAUGUACGGUCCAAAGGGUUAACACAUGGGUGACGACAACGCACCCAUGUGCUCUCCCUCAGUUGUCUCUGGUGCCCCAGGAGCUGUGCCCAGGGUUGCUAGGCUUCCUGCAGUAGCUAAAGGAAUGGCAGCCACGACGUUAAAUACUGUUAAAUUACGCCACACAGGUACUGGCUUGUUCAGGUUGAUGCUCCAAGCAGACAAAUCCCUCCCAUUACAGUGAGUUCACCCCUGCCCGUGCUCUGGAUUACAGGUUAACGUUUCCUUGUUUUGGAACAACACAAGUUCUCAUUUCAGGAUUGACUGUAAGCUCCAGGUGGUAAUCCAGCAUCUGAGGACCACAUUUAUCUCCAGCCUAAAAUCACCUGUAUCAGCCCACUUGCUCUGGGGAUGGAUUCACUGCCAUUACUCUUGUCAGGACUGGUGUGUGCUUACCAAUACUUAAUGCCAGCUGUUUUGCCAUGAGGAAUCACUGCCACAUCAGUCAGAGGAUAUCACUAACGGGCAGUGAGGCUGUGUCUGCAGUGUCAUUGCCCUCAAAGAUAUGACUUUCCUUGAGUUUUCUUUUCAGGAGGUAGUUUAUGUGCAGUCCAAGUGGCAUCGCUGGAGCGGGGUUCCUCAGGCAGGCAUGUUGUGCUGUGGCCAAAGGCUCUCAGCUGAGCCCUGGCACUGCUUUGGUGUUGGGACAGGUAAUGAAAUAUCAUUAUUUAUAAUGAAAUAUUGCCAGCUAGUAUUUCAAAAAGUCUAAUUGAAUUUCUCACAGCAUUUUAGAAGGGAAAAUCACCGUGUUUGUGGCUCCCUACCUGUGUUGGGUUUGUAGGACUUGGACUGAUGAAUGCUGGAGAUGUGCCUUGUGGUUCCUUCUGCACCAGGAACACUAAUCUGGACAACAAGCUCUGUAUGGUGCUGGUAAAAAGAUGUAAAGAACUAAGUACCUUCUUGCUGCAUCACCAGAAACUUUACCCAAACUAUGUGCUCCUUCUUCGGGAACAUUUGGUGGCAAAAGGAGAUGGGACAUCAACCUGGUCUGACUCAGCUCCCUGUUGCAGUAGCUCUCAUACCAGUUCCUGUAGCUGGGAAAUGGAGGUGCAAAAGAGUGGCAGGUUGCGCAUUUCCAACAAGCUACUUAGAGCCGAAUCUCCCAAGUUGCAUUUAUUGCAGACCCCAUAGGGUCUGGACUUGGGGUUUCACAACUGGUCCACACUCAGGCAUGCUGGCCAUGGUGACCAGGAGGUGCAGAGCAGUGGGGACGAUGUUCUGAUGGCUUUUGGUGGGUGUUUUGAACCUACUUGUGUGGGGUCUUCUCCAAGCCAUGGGAGUUGGCUUGGCAGGGUGGGUGUGAUACUCCAGUAGUUUGGUUUUGGGGUUUUUUUUGGAGAGCGGGAGAGGAUAGCAGCACAAUGCUCUGCUGUGAUUCACAGCUGAGCCAUGUUUGGAGCUGCUCACUGCAUCUGACUUCACCGGUACCUGGCAGUGCCAUAAUCUUGAGCAAUCACCCUCCCUUACUUCUAAUGACUCUCCUGCUCUGGACCUCCUCUCCAGCUCCCCGGGGAACAGCCGUGCCUCCCACCUUCCCCUGCUGCUGGAUGAAAAUAUUUGUUUGCUGGUGUCUCUCCUACAAUACAGUGCUCCUCCAGAAAAUAUCACUAUUCAGCCACCUCGCAGCAUUCACAGCGUUGUUAUCCCAUCUUACUGCAAUGUUUCUGCUGUACUUUUCUCCUCGGCUCCCUGCUUAAUGCCUUCUUCUUGUGAGCAGGCACCUGGGGCUCCUUUGAUAGGCUUUCUCUUUUUUUCCCCUGGUUUUAGGAAAAGCGAGAAAAAUGGAAAUAACUCCAUGGUGGGGUUGCCUCCUCCUUCCCCUUGGCUCCUGUGGUGGAUUUGGCCACGCUUGCAGAAGACAGAAAGGAGGCGGGCACUGGAAAUGACAAGGGGAGAGAGUAGAGCUGGACAGGAUCAGUGCUCUAUCUCCCAAGACAGGCUGCAGCACUCUCUGGUUUAGAGCAACCCGUGGGUCAGCACCAUCACCCGCUCUGUGUGGCAAUCACUCCUGGGGUGCUGCCCUCCUCCAGCCACGGCAGAAAGCACUUGCAUUACAUCAGCUGCUAACUGGAAUUAGUGGAAAUAAUUGGGUCACCUCCUAAGCAGCUGGAAAGCAUUGCAAUUUUGGUGUCAUGAAGCUGAUUGGCACCAGCAGAACCUUCCUAUGCAGAUGUAGGUAAAGCCCAGAUCCAGCAAGUCUGACUUCACACGGCACAUUCAACUGCUGCCUCUCGCCCGCUCCCCUGCGAAGCCCAGAGAAUGGCUGGGGCAAAGACUUGCAGACAUUGGGGUAAGGCAAGACCGGGCAGUGGGGUACCCACUCAUCCUCCAGCAUGGAGAAAACCAAGCAGGAGAAGCCUCCAUGCCUAAUUCACCCCACCUCAAUUAUGCUGCAAACCAACAGGCUGCAACCAGUGGGAUUCAGAUCACUCCUGGCCAUGGGCAUGAGUUUUAUUCCCCCUGUUUGCUCCCUGCACACAGCCUGGGUGCCGGCAGUGAGUUCUCAUGCUCGUGUAGCUGAUGCUUGGCUGUCAUGUUGCAUUAGAGUCUACGAGUCAGCCCAGACCUCCUCGGGGCUUAGCUGAAGCGGAUGCAAACAACACAACCUGGGAUGCUCCAUCACCAAAAUGCUGCCACCCAUUACCUGCGGUGUGGAUGGGCCAUACGGCUUGAUGAAGAUGAAGGGAUGUGUGGUGAAGUGCAAAGUCACAUUGAAGAAAUCGGAUGUGCCGCAAUCUCCAUUGCCCUGUAUAAUCACCACAUGCUGCCAGCACAACUGUGAAAGGGAUAACAGUGCUGCGGACCAGGAGAGGAAAAUCCCUGCUAUUACCAAGGCUUUUUAAAACCAUAAUUAGGGAAUUGUGGCACUUUCCUCUGGGAAACCUGAGCAGGGGCACCCGUAAACUCCAUUUGCUUCAGUUUUGAAGCCUUAAAAGUAAAACCACCUGCUGAAGUCAAAUGAGCACAUAUUUUUUAAACUUGCUUUUCAGUUUGCCUAGUCAUUUAUACCCUAGCUCGAGGUUGGGGAAAAUGGAAAAGAAACACUCAUCUGGUGUGAUUUUGCAUUUGUUUUUCCCCCACACUUCUGUUUCAUCUCUGCAGUGUAAAAAUAUAACUGAUGUGAUCGUGAGGUUGUGCACGCUAUGGUUUUUCCCCACCUGCUUUAUAACCCCUGUACUGGAAAAAUUCUGAUUUUUCUCCCUUUUUAAUAUGUUGCUCAAACUAAACCAUGUGUUAUGGCUGAUUUACGCGCAUAUGCAACCUGGCAGGUAGCAGCAGAGAUCGCGCUCUUUGAACCCUCCAAUAAUUGGUAUUUUCUACUUGCCAUCCUGUUGUAAUUUCCCCCUGAAUAUUCAGAGCAGCAGCAGAUACUUAUGCAAUAGAUUUAGAGCUAGAGCUGUGGAGCUGGCUCUUGCUAUAAGGUGGUUUUGCUCAGGCAAACCUUGUCCCAGGUCCAUUUUCGGGACCUGCAGGGUUUCCUUGGGAGAGGAGUGACCGCAAGGAGCCUGCAAAUGGUUUCUAUCGUCUCCCAUCAAAAACUCAGCUGAAGAGAGCACGAGUAAGGUGGAGCAAAGAAAUGAAUUGUAGUCCUGCUGCAGAGACUUCAUUUGAUAAAUAAUGUAUAUAGAGUUUGCAGUAAUAACUGCUAUUUUUUUUUUUGGGGGGGUGGGGGUUGACACCUCCUGGAUGUAUUUCUCCUUCCAGGAGCUGAGCAGGAUGAUGGGCACUCACUGGUGCGAUGGGGAAAACAGGGCAGGCGGUGACAGGCUGUGUUAUCUCGGGUUAAUCUGGGGCUUUUAUCAUUUUUGGCAAGCUGCACACGUGUAUGGAGAGGUGGUAGCACUUCCAUGCACUAGAGAGGGGCUCACAGGGGUAGGACAGAGCUGGUCUGGGCUUUAAGGAUGGGAGUCCUGUACAAUAAGUCAUGCUGGGUGUGCAGUCAAAAUCCCAUAUUUCCUUAGGUUAUACCUUCCUGCCAGGUGGGACAGCCACCACGGACAUGUCUGGGUCUGAGGAGAUGGCUAGAUGCCUGCAUGGAUCCCCAGACCACUGGAGCUGUAUAAAAUGGCCUUAAUCAAGGCUCGCCAGAGAUAAUGCUCUUUGGUCGUUUUUAUAGCAGGCUUUGAAGGUUUAUACUGGAGCAUUUUGGUUAAAAAUUUGCUUCUGCUGGACUUUGGAGGAAGACCUGGGCUACCAUAUUAAUGAAGGUGAGUGGGAAAACCCAUAUCCCUCCUUGUUUUACGUCCCUCUGUAAGAAUUGGAAAUAGCCUCGGUGCUCUUAUUGCAGAAGAAAACAAGUUCCUUGGGAAAGAAAAAUAGCUGUAAUCAAUGUGGGCUUGCACCAGCUGAAGGUCUGAGUCAGGUAGGGGUUUUAUUGCCAUAUAAUAGGUAAGUACCUCAUUAAGGAGCAUAUAUAAACGCAUAACAUAAUUUUGUUGAGCCUGGAGCCAGUGCAGGAGCUUGGAAGCAAGCCCACUGGUUUGUGAUGUUUUUUAAGCCAGAGCUUAGUUUUGCUCACUUUAGUUCUCCCACUAGUAUUGUAAGUACUGGGGGUUAGACUGUUUACAAGUGAGCUCUUAAAAUCAAUUUUAAGGCUGUUUUUAUGCAGAAGAACGGUGUGGAGAUGUAAGACUUGGGAUGGAGGAGAUCCCAUCAGUCCUGUGACAGACAGUGAUGUGAUAUAACCCCUUUCAUGAACGGGUCAGAUUUCAGCUUUGGGUUGACAUCGUGGUCCCCAGUGUCCCAGAAGGCUGGCUCAGCACCUCAUAUUUCUGAGGCUUUUAUAAUUUCUAAGCCACAAUUAACCACAGUCAGUUGCAACACACUUUCUUGCCUUUGUUUGCUGCCCUCCUUCACUACUGAUCAAAUGGAUGGAUAAAUAGUGAUAAAUAACACGCUGCAGCCACCCGAGUAGGGUUUGCUGAACUGAGAAAUGAGAUCACUUGGGCAGCAAUUGCAGCACUGUGGGUAGAGGGGAAAUAACAAAAAAAUAUUUGCAGAGUCGGAGCGUAGCAAUUUGAGAGCAAGGGAUUAUUUGCUGCGCCCCAUUCCUAUAGGAAGUGACAAGUAAAUGGCCCUUGAUGCCUGGUGGGAGCAGGACAACCCCGACAAAUGAGGCAAACUGAACCCACUAAUUGAGACUGACAUGGACUGCUUCUCACACACCUUAAAUUAAGCAAAUAGGAUGGUGUUCAGAGAAAUGCUUUGGUAUAUGACUGCACCUGGUCACUGCCUCCAACCCACCACCAGCCUGGAAUAGGUUAUGCAAUGAAGGCUACACCAAUGUUCCCUUGAAAAUCAGAAGCCUUAGGCACUGUGGUGCCUCCACGACCUGUCCCAUGAAGCUGGAACUGCUGAGGGUGGCACUGCAGGGGACAGGGCUGUUCUGCUGGGUCUGGAAGCUGGGAGUCCCUGGAAAACCACUGGUGAGGCCACCAGCUGGGAGGGCUUGAGAUGUAUCAUGGUAGCACUGGCCAGAUCUCCAUGGUUCUGCUGAAGUUAGAAGGGUUGCAACAGGAGAAAGACUCUGGGGUUGAAGCCACCAGAACACUGCUAGAAGCUCUGCAUGGGAAAAUGAGUGGGAAAUGGUAAAAGAAACUCUGUUCACCUUAACUGGCAAGGCAGGAUCCCACCUGGGAACAGCCUUAAGUGGUUCCUCACUGCAAGGGACAGAUCCACCAGCAUUCCAGAGAGGUUCUCCUUGAAGGGAGGAUGACAAGGUAACAUGCCAAUACUUGCACACAUGUAUGAUUUCUCCAGUUGGGUUUGGCACUGGGCUAGGGGAUCAUGCCGGAGGAGGUCACUGUGAAGCUUUCAACCAGGCUUAAAUUCUGGCAUGGUUAUUUCAAUUCAGGAAUGAUUGUUUUGGUUCUGAUCAAGCCUUUUGAGACAUAAUUCGUUCAUUUGGUGUGGGUAGAGUGGGCAGCAGCAGUCAGGAAUUUAACCCCUGCCCUGACUAUGCUGUUUCACCAUGGAUUCCUCUUGCUGCUGCCACUGCUGCAUAUCCCCUUUGAAAAAUGGGGGUAACACAGGGCUAUCUCCCUAUGACAUGCUGAGAUAACAGCCUAAUGAACAGAACCACAAGCUGGUGGAAAUUCACUUCUGUGCAGAGGUGCCAAUCUAAUUUUCCACUCUAGAUAAACAUUUAAUAACUCGAAGCCCUCUUAUUCCAGUGGGAUUAUCUGUGAAGCACUUUCCGUCCACAAAGUCCAAAAUACUCCACUAAAGUGCAUGUGAGAAAGGAAAACAGAAAGCCUGCAGCAGACCCUCAGACACAUGCUUAGCUCCACCGCCAAAACUAUGGAAAAAGAUAAAUUUUACAAUCUGGUCUGAAAUUUGGGUGGGUUCUCUCCCUACCCUGGCUGGCUUUACCCAUGUCUAAUGUGGUAUUUAGGAGAUGAAACUGAGCUGUGACAUUUCUGAUACCUUGUCGUCUUUUAUAAGUGAAGUAUGCGGAAACAGAUGUUCUUUUAAUGCAAAGCUUGGCUGGAAGAUCAAUAGCAGCUUCACAUGUAUUUUUUUGUCUAAUAUUUGGUUUUGUAGAGCUUUGGGGAGAAAAAAAAUAUAUAUAUUGCUUUUCGUGCAGCACAUGGAUGUGACAAGCUCUUGCUGCCAAUUUCUGGGCUUUUAUCAUUAAUUGCCUCCCCAGCCUGAGCCAUUGGGGCCAGACCCACAUGGCAGGGGUGGGCAGUGAGCCAGGACUGCUCGAAUUAUCUCAGACCUUCUCCUGCGCCACUGCUGUGCUCAAAAGAAUGGACACUCUAAAGCCAUGGCAUGGCUGGUGUUUAGCCUGUGGUGUCCUGGCCAUGAAGCGUAGUGUGCCUUGCAGAGGGGCUUUCACUCAUCUCUGCUCCUACAGUGCCGCAAGAUGCUCUGAUGGAAAGUUUUCUGAUUGCAAAUAAUUAUAAUCAUUCUCAUAUAUGAUUGCAUUCCCUGGCAGGAGAUCUAGUUUGCUAGAUACACACCUGCCUUGGCUGGUCUGGAAAAAACAAAGAAAUGCCAAGUGUUGCUAAUAGUUAUUUUGAAAUUCCAUCUUUUUUGUGUGUCUCCUUUCUAAAGCUGCUGCAGCUUUCAGAGGUGAGAUGGCUAAUUGCAAGGGGUGGUACCUGCCAUAAGUAAUUAGGCUGGCUGAUCAGCUCCUUUAAGUCCAUGUGGCUCUGCUGACUUCUGUGCUCAUUUAUGUCAGCUGAGAUCAGGUCAGGAGCAGAACAACUUUGAUAGAGGUGGGGGGGGGUUUGUGGUGUUUGGAGGAUGAUGAGUUGUUAUGGUUGGUGAUGCCCUAGACAGAUAUGAGAUGUAAGUAAGGGGGGGUAGGAAGGAAGCUGAGUUUUUUUGUAAGGACUGAGCUUCUAAGGAGAACAUCCCAAGUUUGGUGGGGUGCCCAUGGAACUGUUGCCUUCUGUUACUGGGCGGGAGAAAUACCAGAGAACCCUGGAGUGCUACUUCUGUCUUGCUCCAGUAAAUGACUUUGUGUGCUGCUGGUCUGCCACCUGAUGGCCCCUGAGAAGUGUGAACGUUGCCUUGCUGGGAGUCUCAGGAAAAGAAAUACAUUGAUCAUCUGUGACCUGUGCUUGGGAGUUCAGGUGUGGUUUUUGGGUUGGGUUUCUGCUGUGCCCUAAGUUGUCUUUUGUAUCUCAUGUGUUUUUUUCCUAUAUAUAUAUUUAAAGUAUGAAAUAGAUACGUAUAUAAAAAUAUAUAAAGCUUUUAUAUGUGUAAACAUAUAUUGGUGUGCUCCAUUUUUUAGAUGUGUGGUGGACAUCUGUUCCGUGGAAAGUUGGGAUGCUGAAAGGACAUAGGAGUCUAUCUUAAAGAAAUCCAUGUGUUUGGAGGAAAUUCAGGAUAAUGCUUCUGUACGUGACUAUAAACCUGAUAGAGCCCCCGCUGAAGCACCUGCCUUUCUGAGGAGCUUAAGUAAUAUUUUUCAAAAAGCACUUCAUCAACCUUUCAAUUCCUGUGGAGCACUUGAGUAUGCGCGACCUGAGGCUUCGGUGUUAUGAAUCCAAUUCUGAAAAAGCCUGGAAAUUGAUUUAUGGCUGUGUGAGACACACGCGGGCUUUGGAGACAUGGGAGAGAUGAUGACUUGUUAUCUGACUUCAGCGUUGGACCAUCAUCACAGGUGCACCCAUGGUGGGUCCAUCCAUCCUGUGUCAGACCCACUUGUGGUCUCACUGAACACUUUGUUCCAUAAGAAAAUGUGAGUUUGUGUUGAGCUGCAUUUAAAAAGUGCCUUUAUGAGUUUGGUAAGCCUGAAAUAAUUAAGUAAAAAGCGCUGAUGCUCGUGCCAUCUGCCAUCCAAUGCUUAUCCAGUGGCUCCACUGUGAUUGCACACCUCCAGCUGUCUGCUUUUUGGUUUGGUUUUUUUUGAAUAGGUGAUGGAAACUCACCUGCAUUCCAUGUCAGCCUAUGUUGGCAUGUGGAAAAAAAUAGUUUUCUAUUUGCUGUGACAGCAGAAGCUUAAAUCAAAUCUUAAAUAUCCAAAAAAGUGUAUUGGAUGUGGAAGUCUCUGCUUCCUGGGGCUGGGAGGCAGUACUGUGGCUGCUGGAAGAAACCAUCUGAUAUUGCAAAAUCUGCAGGAAAAUGGGACGUGGGACAAGGUAAGCCAUUGAGGGAGCAACUCUGCUGGUAAGCAGCAGGUCUAUGAGCUCUGUCGAGGGCAGCGGAGCAUCCCAUGGGCACUGCUCCAGCUCCUGGCGUCGUGCCGGAUCUGGCUGCCCGAGUAAUGUGUUGGUUGGCAAAGGCAAAGUGGGGCAUAUCAAAACAGCUUGUGGACCUGUGUGAAGUCAACUUCACAUGGUUGUAGUUGGAAAAUGGCCCUCAGACCUGAAUAUUUGUGUUAAGGAAAUCUCUUGAGCUAUGUUUCAGGAUAACUCCUUUUGUGAGUAACCUUACACUGUUGAAGGGGAACGAGAUGCUGCUGCAAAACCUGUUUUUUGGGGGGUCUCAGUGUCUUGCUGCCAAACCUGGCUGGAGGGCUGGUGCUAAGAAAGCAGAGCAACCUUCACAGAGAUCCAGAUGCUGUCUGGGAGCUGAGCUUUCCAGGGCAGAAUAAAUUACCCAAAUAUAUUGCUCCGGAGAGCACGGCCGAGCCUGCGAGGGAGGCAGCAACGACACAAAAGCCGAGGGCUGCAGACCCAACCCUGAUGGUGCAAGGUCAGAGCUGCUGCCGCUUGCCUGAUGACUGACUCAGGCUGGACUGAUGCCUGGGUGAAACAGCUCAUGAAUCCAAGGCUGCGCUGCCCCAGUGUUUCAGUCUGCCAUGGGAGAUGAUGUCAUGGUCCUGGGCUCAAAAGUAGUGUUUGGAGAAGACAACCUCUUCCCCCAGCUCACACAAGGCACAUCCUGGCAGUGAUGGGUGCUCUGCAGGCCCUGAAUCUCACUGGUGCUUUGCACCAUCCAGCAAGGAACUGGCAUGGAGGCACGUGUCACUGAUGGCUUUGGCACAGUUGUCCCUGAAGUUGAGAGGAAAGGAGCACCCAGGCUUGCAGCAGCCUGUUCCCAUCAGAGAUAAUUUGACUCCCAAUUUUUAUGUGGAUGCUGAUAGAUUUUUGGUUUUUUGUGGAUCAUGUUCUAUGAAAGGGCAAGGAUAAUUCUCUCUGCCAUAAAAAAACUGAAUUAGAUGGUUAAAACCACUAUUAGAAAGAGCAUCCUGAGCUAUUAAAUCCUGCAGGUUUCAGGCUAUUUCAGAAACAUCCUGAGGUUGUGCCUGGAUGCUGAUACCGUCACAAGCUUGGGCAGAGGGAAAACAUCAGAGAGAUGCAACAGGGCAUGAGGGCUUUUCAGCAGCAGGGCUGCUAGCUGGGGUGGCUGGGCUUAUAUGGGGAAGCCCAGCAGACCUCUGUGGUCAAUAUACCCGAAGGAAAGUGUGAAGUCACAAAUCUCAAGUGUCAGCUGGACAAAUUCAUUCCAAGGGGAGCAUGCUUGAGCUGAAAGCCAAUGGAGGAUGCUCUCUUUCAUGUAGCAAAAUCCCCAUCAGAAAGCUUCCAAGUAAUGAAAAAGCCUCAAAUAUUCCUUCUCGUGCUACUUACUUUUUAGUUGUUUCCAUUUUUCUCAAUUAUUUUCCCAAUAACUGUGUAGCAGCUGUUGGGUCUCACCAGGACCCAUCAGCCAAAGUGCUCCAGGGUUCUCCCUUUCUUGGGGUUGAACAAGAGGCAACCCCAGACAUGGACAUCUGUCCUGUGUGAAUGAGAAAGAUCACAAAAUUUGGGGGGUGUGGGAGUGCAUCCUCCACUGAAGCUAUGCUGGUGACAUUGCUGUGAUGUCCCCAUGGUCCCUCCAUGUGAACCAGCCAGAAGGUUUUGUGUCUUGGGGUAGGGCUGCUGAAAAAUCCACAUUGCCAAUGCUUCUCAGACACAAACCGACCAUGCUACAAAGGAGAAUCUGAUUACUAAUUCUAAUUACAAAGAGGAGUAAAUCACCUAGAUUUUUUUUUUUUGGCUUUCACUGAAUGUCUUUGAUACAAUAAAGAAGAAUAAUUGA